GACGAACGCUGGCGGCGUGCCUAAUACAUGCAAGUAGAACGCUGAAGGAGGAGCUUGCUUCUCUGGAUGAGUUGCGAACGGGUGAGUAACGCGUAGGUAACCUGCCUGGUAGCGGGGGAUAACUAUUGGAAACGAUAGCUAAUACCGCAUAAUAGUAGAUGUUGCAUGACAUUUGCUUAAAAGGUGCAAUUGCAUCACUACCAGAUGGACCUGCGUUGUAUUAGCUAGUUGGUGGGGUAACGGCUCACCAAGGCGACGAUACAUAGCCGACCUGAGAGGGUGAUCGGCCACACUGGGACUGAGACACGGCCCAGACUCCUACGGGAGGCAGCAGUAGGGAAUCUUCGGCAAUGGACGGAAGUCUGACCGAGCAACGCCGCGUGAGUGAAGAAGGUUGUCGGAUCGUAAAGCUCUGUUGUAAGAGAAGAACGAGUGUGAGAGUGGAAAGUUCACACUGUGACGGUAGCUUGACAGAAAGGGACGGCUAACUACGUG
rnacentral:rRNA from 1 species